GCGGAGAGAGCGCCCGGCGCGCGGGGCGGGGCGCACGGAGCCGGCGCUCUGUAGAGCGCCCCCUGCGGGUGAGAGGAUGGAGUGCCGGCCGCGCAGCCUCCACCUAAGCAGGUCAGCCAAGGGGCGGGCCCGCCGCCGACUUCCUCACACACCUCUUAAAAAGCACAGCGAAGGCGCCUGCCCGGGCUCACACUGGUUUCAGUUUCCAAAGGCAGGUGUGAAGUCAAAGAAUAACACUUAACUUUGCCCUUGAGAAUCUUCAACUCUGGUGC
rnacentral:lncRNA from 1 species